rnacentral:rRNA from 1 species
AGAGCGAACGCUGGCGGCAGGCCUAAUACAUGCAAGUCGAACGGAUCCUUCGGGAUUAGUGGCGGACGGGUGAGUAACACGUGGGAACGUACCCUUUGGUUCGGAACAACUCAGGGAAACUUGAGCUAAUACCGAAUGUGCCCUUCGGGGAAAGAUUUAUCGCCAUUGGAGCGGCCCGCGUCUGAUUAGCUAGUUGGUAGGGUAAAGGCCUACCAAGGCUACGAUCAGUAGCUGGUCUGAGAGGAUGAUCAGCCACACUGGGACUGAGACACGGCCCAGACUCCUACGGGAGGCAGCAGUAGGGAAUCUUGCGCAAUGGGCGAAAGCCUGACGCAGCCAUGCCGCGUGAAUGAUGAAGGUCUUAGGAUUGUAAAAUUCUUUCAGCGGGGACGAUAAUGACGGUACCCGCAGAAGAAGCCCCGGCUAACUUCGUGCCAGCAGCCGC